AGGAAAUUCGUUGGGUAAAGGAGCGAAUGAAGGUCGUUUUGCUAGCAGACCCUAUUAUUUCGAAUCCUUACCUGCACAGUAGAAAAAACUUCCGACUAGAAACCAAAAAGCCCAUUUACAUUUCAUAAAACCCCGAGAAGUGGUAAUCAAUUGGAACGCAGGGGCUGAGAUAUUCAAGUUCUUCCCACACGACCUACAGCGAGACUAAGAAAAUACAAGGAGCAAACAAAUAUUGGAGCAUGAAAUGGGUAUUCGGAAAUGGCUGGGCCACAUUACAGAACCAGAUAAUCAACCUUCUGCUUUACAAAAAAGAUGACCAGAGACCUGAAAUAGGAGAACAAGGCUUCAGGUUCCUUCGUUGUAGUAAUAGGAGGGUUUUGGAGAUGCCUAAUGAGGGCUGGCGAUAUGGCACAUGAAUAACAUUUUUUCAGGUUUUUAACUGUGAAGGAUGAGAUAUUUUGUUUGUUUGAGGGGGCUCUCUAGAAUCUGCUGAGCUUAAAGCUGCAAUACUGGCUGUCUGUUCAAUUCUCGUUUUAACUAUAAAAUCACAAUUUAAUGGUCCUCUGUAAUCUCAUCAGCAACUUCUCUGAAGCUGUUACAGACAUUUUUUUUAAGGGGUUUUAAUAAGGGGUAGAGGGCAGAGUGUCUAGAAAGGGAGGAGCUUCGCCCCAUUUUAGGGUUACGAAUUUCAGCAUUGCGGCCACACGACCUCAAGGUGGAGUCAUGCGCUCCUUAUUUGGGGUUGUAGCUUCUUGUGGCUGUCCCCAUUUUUUUUCUCUAAUUUGGCCUCUAUUGUUUGGGGUUUAUAAAUUUUUCUAUAAAAGGUUUUGUUUAUUAUGUAUAUAUCUCCGAUUGUAUUUUCUUGGUCAUUUAGCUGAUGGACAUGAGUAAAAUAUGAAUUCACAAAUUUUUCA